GGAGAGAUGUGGCUCAGAGGUUGGGCAUGUGCAUUGUGUGCAAAAGGUCUCAGAUUCAAUUCUUGGUCUCUCCA